UAGCCUUAGAUCUAUCUCUUCUGGGCUUUUUCCUUUCUUUCCAUUGACAGUUUCAAACUCACCCAUUUCUCUCAUUAGGCUGCUGGAAGUGGUCGACAACAACCACAACAACGGCGGUAGAGGCGGCGGCGAGGAUCAUGAUCGGAACGCAGAUGAUUGGGAUUGGACGGCCCUACUAUCGCAAUCGUACAACUAGAAUGAACUGGAUGAGAUGCAGAGGAGCUGGCUUCUCGGUCUGGUGGAGGGAAAGAAAAACAGAUACGUUGACCUAGGUUGUGUAAUCAUGUCGAAGAAGGCUUUGAAAUAGGAAUACCGGUGGAAUCAAGAUGUGCCCAUCCUAUUUUUUUUCGAACGACGCAUGAAAGUUAGAGAGAUGAAGAUGAGCAGAGCAAUAGUGACUUGAAGGAAGAGGCUUUCGAGAUGUCGUACCACGAGCCUCCAAAGAUUUAGGUAAGCAGUACUCCAAAGAUUUAGGUAAGCUCAAUUGGAAUGGGUUGCUAUAUUUACAGUCACUUCACUACAACAAAUUAGUCACUUCACUACAACAAAUUACCCUUUCUAUAGCUUUUGAAGAUAGCAUUUACUAAAACAUGCUAUAAAAAAUUGAUAAAAAAAGGCGGACACAAAAUAAAUAAAAAAAAAAGCUAGAUAUAUUUUUUAAAAUAAAGAGCUCUUUAUUUACUCUCUCUCUUCCUCCCUUCGUUUUGCCCUAAUUUACAGGCGGAGGCUAGAUUUUUUUUUCUCUCCAUUUCCUCUCUUCCCCUUGUGCUCCAUUUUGCCAUAAUCUACAGAUUUGGAGUUAUAACCCAUGUAUUUCAUCUGUUUCUUCCUUUUGUAUUCCAUUUUUGUCUCGGAUGGCAACUUCGUCUUUUCUCUAUCCUCAUGCCAAUGUCUGCUGAUCUGGGCCAAAUGAAAAAGCUCUUAAUCGAGGCAUUUUGGGGCAUUUGGAGAGCAAUUUGUAUGUAUGAUUAGAAUGAUUAAUUGGAGUUUAAAUAUGCUUAAUCUAGACAAACACAUUGAACUAAACUCGAAAUGCAUGCAUGAUUAAAGCUAUAACACUGAGGAGUGGAAGCACAUGGUGCCCCCCUAGAAAGCAUGUUGUCGGUGAUUAGUAUCUGAAUGAAACUACACCUAUUCAUGAGGCUACAAAGCCUUCUAUUUCCUUUCUUCCUUUUCUCCUUCUCAUAGUUGUUACCUCACUCUUUUAGUAAAGAGGCCGUUUGUGUAGGGGGAUUAUAUAUGCAUUGUAACUUGCUACUGUAAAGGUGGAGACAUGUAAGUGAUGUUUAUUUAAAUUUUCAAUCCUUUUGGAGUUUGCUUCAUUUAUGACCUUUAAUGGUUGUUUAUUUUUAGAUUGAAUAAAAAAAAUAAGCAACCUUUAUAACAAUGUCUUUCAAUUUUCCCUCUAAAGAAUUAUAACUAAGUGAAGAACAAAAGUUCGAACAUUUUGUGGAAGUUCAAUAUCACUGCAACAAAUACCAUCUUUUAUAGCUUUUUUGUAUAGCAUUUUAUUUUAUUUUUUUAAUGUUAUCCCUAAAAACCUAAUCACGCGUAUAAAAGCCUUCCUUUCUUUCUCUCUUUUCCCUCUAGACACCCAUAUUCUCUCAGACCCUAGGGCAAAACCAAAUCUCGCCUUCUUUCUCUCGCGCAACAAUCCAUCCUUCCUUCUUUCGUGCUUCAAAAUUUUUCCCUCAAGAUCCAUCCUUCUUUCUUUCGUGCUUCAAAAUUUUUCUCUGAUUUGCAUCAAAUCUCAAGAUGGUGGCAUUGAGAGGAGGCAUACAGUUUAUUGUUGAUGCUUUGUCUAUGAAAAACCCUAUUCUCCUACCUCACUGCAGAUUGAACAAUCCAAGA